rnacentral:rRNA from 1 species
GGAUUAGAUACCCUGGUAGUCCACGCCGUAAACGAUGAUCACUCGAUGUUGGCGAUAUACUGUCAGCGUCCAAGCGAAAGCGUUAAGUGAUCCACCUGGGGAGUACGGUCGCAAGAUUGAAACUCAAAGGAAUUGACGGGGGCCCGCACAAGCGGUGGAGCAUGUGGUUUAAUUCGAUGAUACGCGAGGAACCUUACCUAGGCUUAAAUGUAGAUUGACGUACUGGGAAACUAGUAUUUCUUCGGACAAUCUACAAGGUGCUGCAUGGUUGUCGUCAGCUCGUGCCG